CUCAACUUGUGAGGGAUUCACCUAUAUUACCUCUGCACCUGUAAUAAGACUAAGAAGACGGUGGCUGCACAUGUAGUUAACACCGAUUGUACCGCGACUUCGCCUUUCCGCAGCCUUUGUACCAACCUGCAGAGCCCUUUUGAGCCAAGAGCUGGACUUGGGGAGUAAAGAAGCUCAUUGUAAACGCCAGGAGGAAUUUCUUCAGGGUGAAGUUGACUUCCAAUCGGCUUCAUUCUAAAGGAAACAUGUGGAGCAAACAAACGGGAACUUUCUUUCUCAUCUUCUGCAUUUCAAGCCUAAUAAAAUUAGACGUUUCCACUGUCCUGCUCAGUCUCGAAGCUGUCGGCAGAUUCCGCUUUUAACUCUCAACACAGACACUCAGGAAAUCGGGAAAUCCCUGCAGCUCCCUCAGAAGCUAUCAGUAUCAGCGGUUCCCGAACCCGCAAACAAAAAACGCAACAUCACGUGCUCCUCCAAAGAGCCUAGCCUGUCUAUCGAGCGAUGGAAAGAGCGGCGAGGCGCUCUCGCAGCCGUGGCAGUCUGGACGAAAAGAACCAGGUCCCUUUCCUGGUCUAGCCUACCUCCCUACCUCUCUUCCCUCAUAUCCAGAAGAAGCGACGGAGAGGUUGCAGAAGCCCUACAAGCUUUCACUAAAAGAUUACACUGCCAGGGGUUGAUGGUUUGAUGUGUGGUGGUAACCUUUUCCAUUGGAGACCCACAAACUCUGAAACUUAAACUACUUAACUACAAACACACAACAAAUGACGAAAAGACAGCAUUCACCUCAGCUGAAAUUUGGUGGAAGUAAAAAGCACUUCUCUGGGUCCUCUGAGGAAGCUUCUGGUCUGAGAUGCAAACACUCUGAACUCCAGGGACCAAGAUCAGUAUAGGAGAAAGCUCAUUUUGCUGUUUUACAUAAAUAAAAGUAAUGAACGUUUAUUUUUCCAAUCCCAAAGGAUCCUUUUGUACCUCACAGUACUUACUCUCCAGGAUUGACCUCCUUCUAAGCUAGGGAACAACCCAUACCUCCAGAUUAGAGCUCUUUGUGGUAUCACAGUGCCAAGCAGAAAUCCACAGAGAAAUACUCUGCAAGCAUCUUAAUACUAUCUUGUUAAAAGAAAAUCUGCUUUUAUUUUCAGCUCUAUUUCAUGCCAACAAAGGAAAUAAAAAAUAAGUUACUAAACAUCCAGAAGGCAGAAAAGCGACCUCUCUCCAUCUGCAGAAGCCAAGCAAACUUGUGGGCUUCCCUAUGCAUCCUUUCUUUUACUCACUUUCUAAACGCUGUAACGGCCACUAUCUAUCAGGUGGUCACAAGCCAUCGCUAAAGUCAAUCUGAGGUCAACCCACUCGACUUGUGAGGGAUUCAGCUAUACUGCCUCUGCGCCUCUAAUAGGACUAAGGAGGCGGUGGUUGCACAAGUAGUUAACACCGAUUGUACCGUGACUCCGCCUUUCCGCAGCCGCUCUCCAGCUCUUUAGAGUCCUUUUGAGUCAAGCUGGACGUGAGACAUACAGGAGAUCGUUGCAAACGCCAGGAGGAGUUUCUUCAGGGUGAAGUUAACUUUCAAUCGGCUUCAUUCUAAGAGAAAUAUGUGGAGCAAACAAACGGAAACUUUCUUUCUCAUCUUUUGCAUUUCAAGCAAAAACUAAUAAAAUUAGAUGUUUCCACCGUCAUGCUCAGUUUCGAAGCUGCCAGCAGAUCCCGCUUCUAACUUUUAACACAGGCACGCAGGAAAUCGGGAAAUCCCUGCAGCUCCCUCAGAAGCUACAGUAUCAGCGGUUCCUGAAGGGCAAACCAAAACCCAGUAUCACUCUCUCCUCCAAAGAGUUCAGCCGGUCUGCUGAGCGACGGAAAUAGCGGAGAGGCGCUCUUGAAGCCGAAACGAACCAGGUCCCCUUCCUGGUCGAGUCUUCCUCCCUAAGGACAAAAAAAGUACCUUUCUUCCCUCAUAUCCAGAGGAAGCGACGGAGGGAUGUGGCGCUUAGACUCACUGUACCAUCCCGUCCAUCCAAGUCCUAAUAAUCAUGAGGAUGCGACAGAGCGAGACUCCGUCUCAACAAAACAAAACAAAACAACCCUAAGGAAGAGAGAGAAUGUACUGGAGGAUAGGAAGUACUUAGGAAAACCUUUUUUUUUCUUGUAUUUAAAUUUAAGCCUUCAUUUAUAUAAAAUAAAACACAUGAAACCUAU
rnacentral:lncRNA from 10 species